UUCCAGACUCCUACGGGAGGCAGCAGUGGGGAAUAUUGCACAAUGGGGGAAACCCUGAUGCAGCGACGUCGCGUGAGUGAAGAAGUAUUUCGGUAUGUAAAGCUCUAUCAGCAGGGAAGAAAAUGACGGUACCUGACUAAGAAGCCCCGGCUAACUACGUGCCAGCAGCCGCGGUAAUACGUAGGGGGCAAGCGUUAUCCGGAUUUACUGGGUGUAAAGGGAGCGUAGACGGCCAGACAAGUCAGAAGUGAAAGCCCAGGGCUCAACUCUGGGACUGCUUUUGAAACUGCCGGGCUGGAGUGCAGGAGAGGCAGGCGGAAUUCCUGGUGUAGCGGUGAAAUGCGUAGAUAUCAGGAGGAACACCGGUGGCGAAGGCGGCCUGCUGGACUGCGACUGACGUUGAGGCCCGAAAGCGUGGGGAGCAAACAGGAUUAGAUACCCUAGUAUC
rnacentral:rRNA from 1 species